UAUGCUCGUCUCCGAGACUAAGCCAUGCAAGUCCAAGUACACGUCCUUGAACGACGGAAACUGCGAACGGCUCAUUAAAUCAGUUGCGAUCUACUCGGCGUUCCGCGCCGCCGGAUAACCGUAGUAAUUCUAGGGCUAAUACGUGCGAAGCGCCCGAAGCCGCGAGGCGACGGGCGUUCUCGCCGGAUGUAGGAACCGUACCCCGGGGGACCGCCGGGGGCAACCCGGCGCCCCCGAGACGGGGCGAACCACGGUGAAAUGACGGAUCGUCGGCCCCGCGCCGGCGACUCGCCGAAUGAGUUUCUGACCUAUCAACUCGAGACGGCGGGGUAGAGGCCCGCCGCGGUAACGACGGGUAACGGGGAAUCAGGGUUCGAUUCCGGAGAGGGAGCCCGAGAAACGGCUAC
rnacentral:rRNA from 1 species